rnacentral:rRNA from 1 species
AAUCAACGCUGGCGGCGUGCCUAACACAUGCAAGUCGAGCGAGAAAGUGGAGCAAUCCAUGAGUACAGCGGCGCACGGGUGAGUAACACGUGACUAACCUACCCUCGAGUGGGGAAUAACUUCGGGAAACCGAGGCUAAUACCGCAUAAUACCCACGGGUCAAAAGAGCAAUCUGCUUGAGGAGGGGGUCGCGGCCGAUUAGUUAGUUGGCGGGGUAAUGGCCCACCAAGACGAUGAUCGGUAUCCGGCCUGAGAGGGCGCACGGACACACUGGAAC